rnacentral:rRNA from 1 species
UACGGAGGGUGCAAGCGUUGUCCGGAUUUAUUGGGUUUAAAGGGUGCGUAGGCGGCUAAUUAAGUCAGCGGUGAAAUUCCACAGCUUAACUGUGGAACUGCCAUUGAUACUGGUUGGCUUGAGUACAGAUGAGGUAGGCGGAAUUGACAGUGUAGCGGUGAAAAUGCUUAGAUAUUGUCAAGAACACCUAUUGCGAAGGCAGCUUACUAAGCUGUAACUGACGCUGAGGCACGAAAGCGUGGGGAUCAAACAGG